GACGUAGGGCGCGAGCGUUGUCCGGAUUUAUUGGGCGUAAAGAGCUCGUAGGCGGCUUGUCGCGUCGACUGUGAAAACCCGUGGCUCAACCAUGUGGUCUGCAGUCGAUACGGGCAGGCUAGAAUUCGGUAGGGGAGACUGGAAUUCCUGGUGUAGCGGUGAAAUGCGCAGAUAUCAGGAGGAACACCGGUGGCGAAGGCGGCAUCCUGGACCGACACUGACACUGAGGAGCGAAAGCCAGGGGAGCAAACGGG
rnacentral:rRNA from 1 species